GAAGUGGAUGUGCAGGUUAACUUAGAGACAAAAACGGUUCGAGAACUGGCUAAUCUUGAUAUGUUUGAUAACCGGGAUGCCCGGUUCUUUUGCACGGCUGUUCUCAGCAGACUUAAUCCUUCUCAGCGUUGGUGGUUCUCUUCAUGCACUACCUGUCACAAGUCUUCCCUUCCGGAUGUACUGCCUACAGAUGCUCAGAUCCAGCUUGUGCUGGAAUAGAUGCAAUACCAAGGUACCGGAUUUGUUAUGUUGCAAGAGAUGAUGAUGCAGAGGUUAAUGAGCCUGGUGAGGCUGAAUUUGUCUUCUUUGACAGAGUGGGAAGGGAGCUGGUUGGAGCACCCCUCAUAAGUAUUUUGCGCCAUGGGCGAUCACCUAUUGCCCCACUUCUAGAGAUUGUCCAGUAUGCCCGCGGAGACCCUGUCACACCACGAGAGCUCUCUACUAUUAUAUCAAGGAAAUUCCGUUUUGUUGUCUCCAUAUCAAGAAAGUGUUUCACCAGUGAUGGUGAUGAGCUGUCAUUCCAGGUGCUUAGGAUUGACACGCCUCUAGGAAAGCAGCCACAGUCUUCAGUAGCGUAUCGAGCUUCAAGUGUGACAACUGGAGCAACUAGCUCAGGGUCUUUGCCAAAUGAGAG